rnacentral:lncRNA from 1 species
UGAAAGUAGACGCAACACAGUGAGAUCAUCUGUGGAUCCAAACUCUGAUUCAGACUGAAAUGGAAAAAGUAAUUGAAGAGUUCAAUUGUGAUUGUGAGUUGCUUUUGGAAUGCUUAUUAGUGUGAUAUCGGUUUCAUAGCCAUAGGCAUGAACCAAUAAACAGCUGAAUUAAUGAUGGUAUUUGGGGAGAGAGGAAGUGCGAGUAUGCUCCUGAUCCUCCUUAGGAUAUCCCAGAGGUCAUUGUAGAUUAUUUGGU